rnacentral:lncRNA from 1 species
UCGUUUGUAUUUGGUAAUUAUUGUCCAACAAUGGACUAACUAGGUUCAAAAGAUUCGUCUCGCAAAUUAUAAUCAAACUAUACAAUCAGUUAUAUUUUUUAUUUAUAUUUAAUGUUCCAUGCAUAUGCUUCUUCAUUUGGAGUAAUCUUGAAUUUUUUUUAGAUUAUGUAUGUAACUAAACAAGGCCUAAUUAAUGCGGCUUCUUCAUUUGGAGUGCAGUAAUUAGGGGGUGUUUGAUACUGCUCUGCUCCACGUUUUUUAAGUCCGCUCCAUAUUUUUUAACCAACAGUUUCAGCUCCACGCACUUAGUUCGAGGAAAAAAGUGAAGUUGUGAGAGCACCUAAUAAUAAAUUCCACAAAACGAGUCUGCCAAACACGAAAGAUGC